rnacentral:rRNA from 1 species
GUUGCCUGUGAAAUGAAUCUGAGUUCUGCCUUAAUCACCCUCCACGGACACUCACCUAACCCUCAUGAAGCAGAUUAAGAGUAAUUUAAAGGGGGUACAGCCCCUUUAAAAAAGAGCACAACCUCCUCUAGCGGAUAAUUAUCACCAAUCUUAAACCCUAUCUGUGGGCCCUCAAGCAGCCACCAACAAAGAGUGCGUCAAAGCUCUGCACUUAAAAGAUCUAAAAACAACGUGACUCCCUCACCUCUAACAGGCCAACCUAUAAUAAUAGGAGAAUCAAUGCUAAAAUAAGUAACUAGGGGCUUACCCUCUCAAGCGCAAGCUUACAUACUCACAUUAUUAACAGACCUCACUAAUACUACAACUCCAACGAGACUAAAUAUUACAAUAUCUGUUAACCCAACUCAGGAGCGCCCAUUAGAAAGAUUAAAAUCUGUAAAAGGAACUAGGCAAACCCAGGGCCCGACUGUUUACCAAAAACAUAGCCCUCAGCAGUCCAAGUAUUGAGGGUGAUGCCUGCCCAGUGACACUGUUUAACGGCCGCGGUAUCCUA